UGCUGGUGGUGAAGCGUCCUCUCCCAGAGCUCUGGGCCUUGCCAGGGGUAAGCUGGACAGGUCACAGCA
ensembl:snoRNA